AGCAGCCGCGGUAAUUCCAGCUCCAAUAGCGUAUAUUAAAGUUGUUGCAGUUAAAAAGCUCGUAGUUGAAUUUUGGAUUCUUCCAAUUGGUCCAUCUUUUAGAUGAGUACUGGUUGUGUGGGGUCUAUCCGCCUGGUGAUACGUAAUGUCCUUUAUUGGAUGUUGCGGGUAGUCAGGACCUUUACCUUGAAAAAAUUAGAGUGUUUAAAGCAGGCUUAUGCCGGAAUACAUUAGCAUGGAAUAAUAGAAUAGGACGAAGUUGUUUUAUUUUGUUGGUUUCUAGGACAACCGUAAUGAUUAAUAGGGAUAGUUGGGGGCAUUAGUAUUCAAUUGUCAGAGGUGAAAUUCUUGGAUUUAUUGAAGACUAACUACUGCGAAAGCAUUUGCCAAGGAUGUUUUCAUUAAUCAAGAACGAAAGUUAGGGGAUCGAAGACGAUCAGAUACCGUCGUAGUCUUAACCAUAAACUAUGCCGACUAGGGAUCGGAUGAUGUUAAUUUUUAAUGACUCAUUCGGCGCCUU
rnacentral:rRNA from 1 species